rnacentral:lncRNA from 1 species
UCAAUUUUGUAUAUUAUAUUAUAUCACAUUGAACAGUACUUGGAUGUUCAUAAACAUUAGGCUUGUAUAUUGUACAAAAGGAUUAUUACUUGCCAAUCGGUUCAAUGUAUGUGAUUUAAAUCUAACCUAUUUGCCUAUAUACUCAGUUUGUUUUCAGUAAUAAAACUAAUUAUUUGUCCCUCUUAUCAUCUUAUGUAACAUUCUCCUUGUUGACUGAUGAUUUACUGAAUAUGAUCUUCACCUAAAAAAGUGUUGAUGAUGUCUCUGAUAGUCAUUCCUGUAAAAAGAGAUCAAAGGGUAAGUUUUUUAGACAAUUACAUAUUGGGGCAUAGAUGCAGUAAUAUUGAAACAGCCGUGAAUAUCGAAGGGAAUGCCAAAAUGUGGCAUAUUCAUUCAGUUACACAUCCUGGUUUUUCAAACAGCUAAAGUUUCAAGGCAUUGAUAGUUACAGAUCAGCAAUCAUUGACAUCAUUCAUGGGCAGUUAAAGUAUUGAAAUCAGAAAGGAAAGGGCAUGACAUGUUACUGAGCUUAAAAAGAAAAACUCAGAAGGCUUUUCACAUCAACAACCAGCUAUAAAAGGGCCAUAUAUCACAUACAAAAUAGGGACAGCCGCAAGAAAAUCAGAGAGAUUACACAUACAGGGUGACACACCAUAGUUACAGAGCAUUCAGAAUACACAUACACAACAAAUACCCAAAAGAGAGUGAUAUACAUUCAUAUAUCCACACAUAUCAUACAAAUCAGAGGGCACAACACAGAAUUUGUAUCUGCUCUCUAUCACACGCAUAGAGAGAAGAGAAAAGCACACAGCUAUCAGUCCUCAUACACUGACCUCACACACAUAACCGAGGACGAUUCCGGAAGCAUAUCUCACAUACACGAGAAAGGGAUAGGUUGCUGAUCAAGAACAUAGAGAUAAAGGCAAGGUUAUACACAGCAGGAAUACUGUGAGGUAAGAAGGUGUUUUUUAUUUGGUGAUCAAUCUGUCUUUUGAACUUAGACGAUAAAUUUAUAAACAAUUUUGCUUAGCCAUACAGAAUUACAUACAUCCCAUUCCCACCCAAUUGAUUUCGCAGAGACACAUAUACUGUCAUUUAACCAAAAGUAACUAAUGCUCUGUAACUACUUUAAAGCAAUGAAAUUUGUUUCUGGAUGAACAUUCAUACCAAUUGGUUUUUUUUCUCAUCAAAUUUCUAAUUACUUCACACUAUGACAAAUACGUAAAGUUAGAUUGGAAGAGGGAUAGGGUUCUUUACCAAAAUCCUUUGCCAAUAACCAACCGNNNNNNNNNNNNNNNNNNNNNNNNNNNNNNNNNNNNNNNNNNNNNNNNNNNNNNNNNNNNNNNNNNNNNNNNNNNNNNNNNNNNNNNNNNNNNNNNNNNNGGUCUGUAUGCUUCCUCACACACUAACGUUGUACACUUGAGUUUGCACACACAUAUGCCCUGUCCCGGGUAUUAGUGAUUAGGAUUUGAGAUAGAAGGGACAUCUGCUUUGCUCGUAAAUGACUUCGAGUCAUAUCUGGUAUUGGCGGAACGGACCACCCAGAUCGUUUCCGGUAUCAUGAGUUAGCGGCUUGGAGGGCUCGAUCCUUCUCGUUUCUAGCACUUUAUCCUUCACCAUUUAUAAAUUGAGAUGUUUGUCCCUAAAAAGUCUUCAUGCUUGAAUGUUUCAAGGAUGUCAUUGUACUUUGACGUCCUUGUGCCAUAAAGAUGGCUAAAUAAUUUCUAUUCCUUACCAUGGGCUAAGCGCCCUAGGGAUAAGUUUUCCAUUCCCUACCAUGGGCUCAUUUCCCUAGGGAUGAUUUUUUCAUUCCUAUCGACGGGCUCAUUGCCCUAUGGAUAUGUUCUCUUCCAUCUUAAUAAGCUCACAACUUUAUCAUUUAACUCUCGAGAUUUGGGGAUAUUCCCCAUCCUGGUUUUGUUUUAUUUAUUUAUUAUUUUCCUAUUCCUAUUAUUUUAAUUAUUUGAUUUAAUCUAAUCCUAACCUUAUUAUUCGGAAAUCUCUACAAACUUAAGAUAAAUGCUGAUUGAGUUGAACAAUUAUACAACAUAUAUGUUUAUGAUACAAAUGUGCUUUAACUUGUUAGUGAAAAGUUUUAAUAAACAAUGCACUUAUAAAAAUUCAAAAUCACCCUAUCAUAUAAUUCCAUACAUAACUAAAUCAAAAUAAAUAUUAUCACUUAAAUUCAUAUACAACUAAAAAAAGAAUAUACAAUCACACAUUUAUAUUCAUUUAUAUACAUUCAUAAUAACAAAUCAUUCAAAUGUUGCAUUUCAUGCACCAUCGUACAUGCACCACAAAAUAUCGAAAAAGAAAAAUAAAUUAGUGCAUGCAUCUUCACAUGAACUCAAAACAAAAAAAAUAACAUGUAUGCAUAUUGCAUGAAUCAAAUAUUACAUCCUCAUGACUUUCAUACAUUUCAAUCAUUCAUGUAACUCAUGCAUAAAUCAUUAUCAGAGAUACUCAUGAGUUGAAAAUUGGUUUUUAAAGGUGACAUUAUUGGACUUGACUGAAACGGUCUAAGAAGGAAGAAAAAGUCUUACUCUCGAGACUACAGAAGAUAAACCAGCUACUCAUAUUGAUACCCCAUCCCCAAAGACAUAUUUGCAAAUUUCAUAUCAUAUGGAAACCCCAGUUAACGAUGGUAACUCCAAUCAUUCCUCUAAGUCCCACAAUGUUAUGAACCCUCAAGAUUGGGAGAAGAUCAAGGCAAUCGAAGAGAGAAUUAAAGUCGUUGAGGAAGCAAGCUCCUACAGUUUGAAGGAUGUUACAAGCAUGUGUUUGGUCCCGAAUGUGAUAUUUCCACCAAAGUUCAAGAUGCCCGAAUUUGAGAAAUAUCAAGGAACUUCUUGUCCUAGGGAUCACCUAACCAUGUAUGUUAGGAAGAUGACUCCCUAUAUCGAGGAUGACAAUCUACUAAUCCAUGUCUUCCAGGAGAGCCUCACUGGAGCUGCCAUCACUUGGUAUAUGCGUCUCGAAUGUUCUCAUAUCAAAUGUUUCAAGGAUUUGUGCAACACUUUCUUUAAACAAUACAACUACAAUAUUGACCAAGAUCCUGAUAGGAUGCUACUCAAGAAGAUGUCCAAGAGAAAUGAUGAGACCUUCAGGGAGUAUGUCCAAAGAUGGGCAGGAUUGGCCGCUCAAGUGAAGCCCAAGUUGUCCGAUGAAGAGAAUGUUUCAAUGUUUAUCAACACCCUACAACCUCCCUUAUUUGAUCUGAUGAUUGGAAAUGUCUAUUCGGAUUUCCGUCAUUUGAUAACUACAGGAGAGAGAAUUGAGAAUCACUCCGAGAAUGACAAAAUUGAGAAAAACUCAGCCAACAGAAUAAUCCAAAGCGAUCUUGCAAGUGAAGAUAUGGAAGAGGAAAUCGCAUUCACAGAGACCCUCAGCCAACCUCAAAUGCCUUAUUUUCCACAAGCAUCAUGUUAUGCUUUUACAAAUGGUAAAAAAGGCGAAAGCGAAAAAGGAAGAGUUUGUAUGAUCCGAUCCCGAUGUCAUAUUCCGAGUUAUUGCCACAACUUCUUCAAAGAUCAUUGCUGACUCCUAUCCCCUCAAAGAUGGUGGAACCUCCAUACCCACAAGGAUUCAACCCAAAUGCUAAUUGUGAAUAUCAUACUGGGGCAAUUGGCCACUUCACAGAGGAUUGUGAUCAAUUAAAAAGCAAAGUGCAAUAUCUGAUUAACACCAGAUUAAUCCGCUUUCAAGGAAACGUCCUAGUUUAAGAAAUGCACAAAUCACCCCAAGUUGUCGUCUUGGCACUAGCAAAUGAUGUAAUAAANNNNNNNNNNNNNNNNNNNNNNNNNNNNNNNNNNNNNNNNNNNNNNNNNNNNNNNNNNNNNNNNNNNNNNNNNNNNNNNNNNNNNNNNNNNNNNNNNNNNUGCAAAAUAACAUAAAAAACAAAAGGAAAAAUAUACAAAAGGCCCGCUGAGAAUCCUCAAUAAAAAUUCUCAGGCAAAAGUUAGGGCAAAUAAAGUGCACUAUCAAUAUCCGCAAAAAGGAACAAUUCAAAUACCUCUCGGGAAGAUUAUCGCCUAAAUAUUAGGCAUUCACCUAUUACAUCACAAAAAUCGAACAAAAUCUUAGUACUUGAAUGUCAUGUCAGAAAAUCGUUGAAAAUAAGACUAUGGAGAAAGGAGAAUGUAGAAAGGGGUUUGGGAAACACAUUUUUGAGCCUUAUCCUUUUUUCUUGGAAACCCUUAGCCAGACCACGAUACAAGCUCAAAAGACCUUGUCGAGGAUAUGAUCUGCCUAAGAAACGUACUAGGGCAAAGAAAUGCUGACUCCAAUAAAUAUCAUAAAGUUUUGAUGAAAAUAUCUCAUUUUAAUGCAUGGAUUAAAUCUCAAUCUCUCAUCAUCACUACCCUCAUAUCAACACUCAAAACCCAAAAACAAAAAUCCAAAUUUGCUUGAUCACUGUUUUUAGUAUUUAUUUUUAAGGAGUUGUGCAUGAAGAAAACACAUGACAAGUUGGAAUCAAACGAAAGGUGUCAAUCCAAACUGGGGCAUUUUGUGGAGGCUGAUCUCAUUUCUGGAAAGAAGGUACCCAGAAACCUAUAACUGGGGUAAGACUGAAGUUAGUCAUCAUGAAUCAUUCAAAAAUCCCUCAACCAAGCGAAGGCAAGAUCUUGCAUCAUCGCCUUCAAACUUCAAAUGUGACUCAUGCUUUCAUGCACUUAUGAUUGUCACUUGAGAGUGUUCAAAAAUAUCCAAAAGAAAAAACAAGCAAAAAAAGAAAGAAAAAAGAGUGCUAGGUUGAAAACCCGCAAGGGCAACCUAAGAAAAGGAGAGCAAUGAUAAGUCGAAAAGCUUCAACGGCGACUUAGUAUCAUAAUAAAAUGAGAGAAUUCCUGACAGGUACCUACAAUAGGUAUUUUGGGUAAAAAUUAGGGGGAAAAAUGAACACCCUCAUGGGAAAAUUCACUAUUGUUCAUCCUCAACCAUGCAAACUGGGGUAAUUUAAUUGAAGAUCAUACUCUCCCAAUAAAUUCUUGACAAGAUACUGGGGCAGUUUAUUGGACGAUCAGACUCUUCCAAUAAACUCUUGACAUGACACUGAUGCAUUUAAUUGAUUCACUUAUCGUAAAUUGAGGCAGUUCUUCAAAGGAUCAAAGUCAUAUCAUAGAGCAAGCAAAUCAUCAACAAAUAUGUCAACUAAAGCCAAUCAUAAAAAGGUUGUGAAACUGAAAAGUUUUAAGGGUGAUGAAAAGUAGUUUCGAGUACAACUGAAUCAAAAAUUCAAAUCCAAUUUUUCAAACAAAAAAAACUCCAAGUCAUUUCGAGCUACCAAUUCAACAAUUCUGGUUCAUACACCACUUCAACAUGUAAACAUAACCGAAGGUCAUACAUCACUACGUUAUGCAAACUAAACCAAAUUUCAUACAUCACUCAUAACAUACAUACAUAUCACUAAAUCAAGUCAAGACAUACUCGUUUAUAGUGAGGUUAUGGUUCGAGUUGUCUCUAACUUCUCAGAAAAUGAGAAGAAGGUCUACAACGAAUACCGUCUCUGAGACUAUUAAUUAUAUAUAUAUAUAUAUACAUAAUUAAUAAACUUUGUCAUUAAAUUCUAUAUAUGUGAAUAAUUAGAAAUUAUAUUAUCAAAUUAAUUUUAGGGAUUUUAUAGUAAGGUUAUGGUUCGAGUUGUCUCUAACCUCUCUGAAAACGAGAAGAAGGUCUACAACCAACAUCGUCUCUAAACUAUUAAUUCUAUAUUAAUAACUAAUAAACUAUUUUAUCAUUCAAUUCUAUAGGCAUAAAUAAUUGAAAAUUAUAUUAUCAAAUUGAUUAAGGAAUUCUUAUAGUAAGGUUAUUGUUCGAGUUGUCUCUAACUUCUCCGAAAAUGAGAAGAAGGUCUACAACCAACACCGUCUCUAAACUAUUAAUUCUAUAUAAAUAAUCGAAAACUAUUUUACCAAAUAAAUUUCUUGAGAUUUUUAUAGUGAGGUCACGGUUCGAGUUGUCUCUAACUCGUCUGAAAAUGGGAAGAAGGUCUACGACCAAUAGCGUUUCUAAAACUAUUAGCCUCAUCGAAUCGAAACAAUUACAUAUUUUGAACAAAAUUCAAAUUAACCAAUUCAAUAAACUAAUACUUAUAAAACAUAAUGGUAUUUUCCCAAAUCACUAACAAUCAAUCAAAGUAGAAACAAUUUUUUGAACUAGAACUACGUAAGCCUUGAUCCCCUUAAUAGGGGUACGUAGGACCAAAGUCAAUAUUGUCAGGCUCAAUAAUAAAAAAUAUUAUGUUUUACUAAUUUAAUUUCUAAAUAAAUAAUUUUUAAGGGUAUAAAAGUUCAUUUGAUUAGCGAGGGUACCGUUUUAAUACGGGUGGACGGGGUGCUAGUACCUUCCCUGAUCCGUAAUCGACUCCCGAGCUCAGAAUCUCUAUUCAUAGACCAUUUUAUCCAAAUUGGGCAUAAUAAGAGUUUUCUACGUUUUAACAGCAAAAACGUAGUGGCGACUCCAAAUCAAUCGGGAGAGGUAGAAAUUACUUUUAUUGUCUCGAGUUCCGGCAGUAUCCGACCUGCGUUCUCGCAUUUACUUUUAUUGUCUCGAGUUCCAGCAGUACCCGACCUGNNNNNNNNNNNNNNNNNNNNNNNNNNNNNNNNNNNNNNNNNNNNNNNNNNNNNNNNNNNNNNNNNNNNNNNNNNNNNNNNNNNNNNNNNNNNNNNNNNNNGAGUUCCAGCAGUACCCGACCUGCGUUCUCGCAUUUACUUUUAUUGUCUCGAGUUCCGACAGUAUCCCACCUGCGUUCUCGCUUUACCUUUUCAUCAUAUCAAAUUACAGCUUUACCCAACUACUGUUCUCGAUUUUAAAUCAUAUUACGACCAUUUAUCUCGGCCUUGACAACAUUCAUGUCCAUUUCUUUACUAGUUACUUACUAUGAUAACACGCAAACCUCGGUGUGCUUGCUAUCUAGUAAGCAACAAGUAAAGAGGGGCAGCUGUGAACACUCAAUUUUGUCCGGCCACUUGUCAAAUAAAAUGCAGGAAUAUAGUUAUAGUACUUGUUAAGGAAGUGGCAAGAAGUCAAAUCCCUUUGUGACAAUAACGUCCUUGCGAACAUGAUGUUAGAUUGAGGUCAUGGAUUCAUUGUUAGAUUGAAGUCAUGGAUAAUUACAAGAAAAUAGGAUCCAUUUGUCAAUACUGGUGCUGGAAGGGACCACGCUGGAGUUUAUGUAAAAACUCUAUUAUGAGUGUCAAUUUUGUUUAUUAUAUUAUAUCACAUUGAAUAGUACUUGUAUGUUCAUAAACAUUAGGCUUGUAUAUUGUACAAAAGGAUUAUUACUUGCCAAUCGGUUCAAUGUAUGUGAUUUAAAUCUAACCUAUUUGCCUAUAUACUCAGUUUGUUUUCAGUAAUAAAACUAAUUAUUUGUCCCUCUUAUCAUCUUAUGUAACAUUCUGCUUGUUGACUGAUGAUUUACUGAAUAUGAUCUUCACCUAAAAAAGUGUUGAUGAUGUCUCUGAUAGUCAUUCCUGUAAAAAGAGAUCAAAGGGUAAGUUUUUUAGACAAUUACAUAUUGGGGCAUAGAUGCAGUAAUAUUGAAACAGCCGUGAAUAUCGAAGGGAAUGCCAAAAUGUGGCAUAUUCAUUCAGUUACUCAUCCUGGUUUUUCAAACAGCUAAAGUUUCAAGGCAUUGAUAGUUACAGAUCAACCAUCAUUGACAGCAUUCAUGGGCAGUUAAAGUAUUCAAAUCAGAAAGGAAAGGGCAUGACACGUUACUGAGCUUAAAAAGAACAACUCAGAAGGCUUUUCACAUCAAUAACCAGCUAUAAAAGGGCCAUAUAUCACAUACAAAAGAGGGACAGCCGCAAGAAAAUCAGAGAGAUUACACAUACAGGGUGACACACCAUAGUUACAGAGCAUUCAGAAUACACAUACACAACAAAUACCCAAAAGAGAGUGAUAUACAUUCAUAUAUCCACACAUAUCAUACAAAUCAGAGGGCACAACACAGAAUUUGUAUCUGCUCUCUAUCACACGCAUAGAAAGAAGAGAAAAGCACACAACUAUCUGUCCUCAUACACUGACCUCACACACAUAACCGAGGACGAUUCCGGAAGCAUAUCUCACAUACACGAGAAAGGGAUAGGUUGCUGAUCAAGAACAUAGAGAUAAAGGUAAUCACGGCAAGGUUAUACAUAGGAAUGCUGUCAGGUAAGGAGGUGUUUUUUAUUUGGUGAUCAAUCUGUGUUUUGAACUUAGACGAUAAAUUUAUAAACAAUUUUGCUUAGCCAUACAGAAUUACAUACAUCCCAUUCCCAUUCAAUUGAUUUCGCAGAGACACAUAUACUGUCAUUUAACCAAUAACAAAAGUAACUAAUGCUAUAUAACUACUUUAAAGCAGUGAAAUUUGUUUCUGGAUGAACAUUCAUACCAAUUGGUUUUUUUUCUCAUCAUAUUGCUAAUUACUUCACACUAUGACAAAUAUGUAAAGUUAGAUUGGAAGAGGGAUAGGGUUCUUUACCAAAAUCCUUUGCCAAUAACCAACCGUGGAGUCAUGAUUACACUGUUUUCAUUGCGGAAUUAAUGCCAUCAUUCGCCGACCUUGUUGGUGUCCUCCCUAUGCUUUAAAGGAGACUUUGUUAGANNNNNNNNNNNNNNNNNNNNNNNNNNNNNNNNNNNNNNNNNNNNNNNNNNNNNNNNNNNNNNNNNNNNNNNNNNNNNNNNNNNNNNNNNNNNNNNNNNNNAAAACAUAAUGGUAUUUUCCCAAAUCACUAACAAUCAAUCAAAGUAGAAACAAUUUUUUGAACUACAACUACGUAAGCCUUGAUCCCCUUAAUAGGGGUACGUAGGACCAAAGUCAAUAUUGUCAGGCUCAAUAAUAAAAAAUAUUAUAUUUUACUAAUUUAAUUUCUAAAUAAAUAAUUUUUAAGGGUAUAAAAGUUCAUUUGAUUAGCGAGGGUACCGUUUUAAUACGGGUGGACGGGGUGCUAGUACCUUCCCUGAUCCGUAAUCGACUCCCGAGCUCAGAAUCUCUAUUCAUAGACCAUUUUAUCCAAAUUGGGCAUAAUAAGAGUUUUCUACGUUUUAACAGCAAAAACGUAGUGGCGACUCCAAAUCAAUCGGGAGAGGUAGAAAUUGAGUUCGCCUCCUCCCAAGUCGCAGAGCCGGUCUUCCAACCGAAAAUCGGGUCGCGACAAAAUGCAUAAAAUAUUCACUCAUAUUGUUAAUCAUUUAAUUGCUUUAGAUAAGAGUUUUGCUAUUGGUGAACUUACUAACAAAGUAUUACAUUGUCUUGAUAGAAAAUGGCAGCCAAAGGUAACAACAAUAAUGGAGUCGAAAGACUUAGACACCAUGCCUCUAGCAACUCUCUUUCGCAAACUCCAAGAGCACGAAAUGGAGUUGGGACACUUAACAAUGCAUGAAGAUUCAGACCGAAAGAGAAAGGGAAUCUCUCUAAAAGCUACAUCAUCACAACAACAAGAAGAGAAAGAUGAUGAUGAAGAUUCCAAGUUUGAAUUGGAUGAUGAAACCUUAACUCUUCUAGUUAGAAAAUUUGGCAAAUUUCUCAUGAAGAAAGGAGGGUUCAAGCAUUUUCAAAAGUAAGAGGCGAGUGAUUCAACCAAAAGAGGCAAAGUUCCCAAAGAUCGCCUCAUUUUCCAUGAGUGUGGCAAACCGGGCCAUAUGAAAUACUAAUGCCCAAGUCACCUCAAGAAGGUUGAACAUGAUAAGAGCAAUCCCCGGAACUUUAAAUCCAAGAAGGCCUACAUAGUAUGGGAUGUACCUCUAUUAUGAGUGUCAAUUUUGUUUAUUAUAUUAUAUCACAUUGAAUAGUACUUGUAUGUUCAUAAACAUUAGGCUUGUAUAUUGUACAAAAGGAUUAUUACUUGCCAAUCGGUUCAAUGUAUGUGAUUUAAAUCUAACCUAUUUGCCUAUAUACUCAGUUUGUUUUCAGUAAUAAAACUAAUUAUUUGUCCCUCUUAUCAUCUUAUGUAACAUUCUCCUUGUUGACUGAUGAUUUACUGAAUAUGAUCUUCACCUAAAAAAGUGUUGAUGAUGUCUCUGAUAGUCAUUCCUGUAAAAAGAGAUCAAAGGGUAAGUUUUUUAGACAAUUACAUAUUGGGGCAUAGAUGCAGUAAUAUUGAAACAGCCGUGAAUAUCGAAGGGAAUGCCAAAAUGUGGCAUAUUCAUUCAGUUACACAUCCUGGUUUUUCAAACAGCUAAGUUUCAAGGCAUUGAUAGUUACAGAUCAGCCAUCAUUGACAGCAUUCAUGGGCAAUUAAAGUAUUGAAAUCAGAAAGGAAAGGGCAUGACA